GACUGGGCCCCAAAAAUGGUAUUUAGGACUUUUGGGGUGCCCUGAAACUGCCAAUUAGGAACUUUGAGGUGCCUUGAAACCAUCAUUUGGGGAUUUUGGGGGGUCUUGAAACCGCCAAUCAGGUGUUUUGGGGUGCCUCAAAAAAUGUUAGUUAGGACUGGGCCCCAAAAAUGGUAUUUAGGAAUUUUGGGGUGCCCUGAAACCGCCAGUGUCUCCUGGAUCUAUGGGGUGCCUUGAAACCCCCAAUUUCUCUAUGGACCUAUGGGGAGCCCCGAAACCGACAAUACAUUCAAAGAUCUAUGGGGUACCCCAAAACCAUGAUAGACCUAUGGGGCACCUCGAAACCGACAGUGUCUCCUGGAUCUAUGGGCGCCCCGAAACCGUCAACUUUUCCCAGGACUUAUGGGGCACCCCGAAACUGCCAGUGUCCCCAUGGACCUAUGGGGAGCCUCGAAACCCCCAAUACAGCCAAAGAUCUAUGGGGUACCCCAAAACCAUGAUAGACCUAUGGGGCACCUCGAAACCGACAGUGUCUCCUGGAUCUAUGGGAGCCCCGAAACCGUCAACUUUUCCCAGGAAUUAUGGGGUACCCCGAAACCACCGGUGUCUCCUGGAUCUAUGGGGGUGCCUUGAAACCACCAAUUUCUCUGUGGGCCUAUGGGGCACCCCAAAACUGCCAGUGUCUCCUGGACCUAUGGGGUGCCUUGAAACCCCCAAUUUCUCUGUGGACCUAUGGGGCACCUCGAAACCACCGGUGUCUCCUGGAUCUAUGGGGAGCCCCGAAACCGCCAAAUUUUCCCAGGACUUAUGGGGCACCCCG
rnacentral:lncRNA from 1 species